GACGAACGCUGGCGGCGUGCUUAACACAUGCAAGUCGAACGGAAAGGCCCCUUUGGGGGUACUCGAGUGGCGAACGGGUGAGUAACACGUGAGUAACCUGCCCUUGACUUCGGGAUAACUUCAGGAAACUGGGGCUAAUACCGGAUAGGAAUCCUUGCUGCAUGGUGGGGGUUGGAAAGCUUCGGCGGUUUUGGAUGGACUCGCGGCUUAUCAGCUUGUUGGUGGGGUAGUGGCUUACCAAGGCUUUGACGGGUAGCCGGCCUGAGAGGGCGACCGGCCACAUUGGGACUGAGAUACGGCCCAGACUCCUACGGGAGGCAGCAGUGGGGAAUAUUGCACAAUGGGCGGAAGCCUGAUGCAGCAGCGCCGCGUGCGGGAUGACGGCCUUCGGGUUGUAAACCGCUUUCAGCAGGGGCGAAGCUUGUGGUGACGGUACCUGCAGAAGAAGCACCGGCUAACUACGUG
rnacentral:rRNA from 1 species